UAAUAAUUUAAAAUUUAAAACAAAAAUAAAAAAUAUGAGAAUAUUUUGAAGAUUUAAUGCGCGUUGAAUUGGGAUAGAAUUGUUGACAAUAUUGCAAAUUUAUAAAAAUUAGUAACCUUAAAUUGAUAUUUUUUAAAAUUUAACGAUAUUAUUAUAAAAGUAAUACGAAGUUUUCACAAGAAAUAUUCAUAGGUGGAAAUAAAGAUAAGUAGAAUCCCAUUACAUCAUGAUCAGGAAGGCUUUUUCCCGAUAAAAGCAGCCUUGCAUGGAAUGCGUAGAAAUCAGGCACCAUAUAGGAGCAUAUCCAUGGCAUAUGCUACUCCUUCAACUGCUUAUAUGCAUUCAUCACUGCAAGAAAGAGCCUAUAAAAGCUUUUGAGGACUCCCUCCCUCCUCAUAAACCAGGAGGCAAUGCAUACAUGCACUGAGCGAACUAGUUGUAGGGCUUCUCUCCUCUGGCAGGCAAUCUAAAUUAUCCAACUUUUUUCUCUCUUGACCCGCCAAAGGAGAGUUGCCCUUCAACUGCUUCUGCUUAAUAUAAUCCAAAGGGAUUAAGAUCGUGUUAAAUUUAAUGCAAUAUUAUCAGGUAUGAUGAUCAGAAAAGCUUUAUGCAUAUGCAUGCAAUUUGUGUUUUCUUACUUUUGUUCUGUUGUAAUGCCAUUUCCAUUCCAACGUCGUGUUUAUGAUCAUCACCAUGCAUGUGAAGGGUCUGGCAUCCACGAGGGUUUUAAAGUACAUGCAUGUCAUUAGUUUAGAGCUUAAAAUAUUAUAAUUAAAUGAUUAAUUUCAUCAUUUUCUAUCAGAUUAAGCUGUUGGGAUGAGCGGUAAUUUAAAGUUAAUAAGAACAACUGCACACUUGCAUCAAUGAUCUGUCCAUGUGUUGUAAUUGUGUGCAUUUGCUUUGAAAUGCACUAUAAAUAUAUUUACUUCAACUAUUACCCAAAAAUUUAAGAAAUAGAGGAAAAAGAAUUGUGGGUUAAUUGCCUUCCCUAAUGAUCAUGUACGUGAACAUGCAACCAUUUUGACAUGUACAGGUAUGUAUGUGAUUUUUACUCGAGAAAAGAGAAGUUAUUCAGACGUUCUCAUUUUUAUUUUUAUUUUUUAAGAAAUUUUCAUUAAUGUGGAAAAAUGAUCUUUGAAUAACUUGAUUGCUUCUUCAAGCAGGGACUCCAGAUCGAGUUUGGCUUGCCUCUUGUUGAAAAAAAAAAAAAAAGGUCAUCUUUUGUUAUUGAAUAUGGAUGAUAAAUUAAGAUUUAAACCCACUUAAGGGCUAGAGAUGUCCUGACCGUCCAUGAAAUGAUUAAUUUAUUCAUUUAAUUAAUAUUCUAACUCUCUAUUCACAUGUAGCUUAAUAAGUGAGGCCUAACACGUAGAAUAUUUAAAUGAAAUGAGAAUAAAUUGUUGGAGAUAAUGUUUAAACUCACAACCUAUACCAUAUUAAAUCAUUAGUUAUCUUAAAAGCUUAAUAUGAAAAUAAUAAUAAUAAUAAUUUAUUUAAUUAUUUAAUUAAUAUUCUAAUGGUUAAGAUAACUUCAAAGUUAAUUACCAUUUUGAUACAAUCGCGAGUAACGGUACCAAAGGCUCAUUUUUUAUUAUACCUUUUCUACAUUGCAAAAUGGGCAACUUUUUUAAUUCCGAGUAUUUAAUGGGUAUUUUCACGCAAAAUAUAGUAUAGUCUGUUCAAGGAU
rnacentral:precursor_RNA from 1 species